AGAGGUAUAUGUUGGGCUAUCGCU
rnacentral:siRNA from 1 species